GCCAGGAUACCUCAGUCAGUAGAGCAUAAGACUUUCAAUCUCAGGGUCCUGGAUUUGAGCCCCAUGUUGGGCA